GGGUCGUUAGCUCAGUUGGUAGAGCACUGCACUUUUAAUGCAUUGGUCGAAGGUUCGAAUCCUUCACGACCCACCA
rnacentral:tRNA from 1 species